rnacentral:rRNA from 1 species
UACGUAGGGUGCAAGCGUUGUCCGGAAUUAUUGGGCGUAAAGAGCUCGUAGGCGGUUUGUCGCGUCUGCUGUGAAAACUCGGGGCUUAACUCCGGGCCUGCAGUGGGUACGGGCAGACUAGAGUGCGGUAGGGGAGACUGGAAUUCCUGGUGUAGCGGUGAAAUGCGCAGAUAUCAGGAGGAACACCGGUGGCGAAGGCGUGUCUCUGGGCCGUAACUGACGCUGAGGAGCGAAAGCGUGGGGAGCGAACAGG